CCUACGGGUGACAGCAGUGAGGAAUAUUGGUCAAUGGCCGAGAGGCUGAACCAGCCAAGUCGCGUGAGGGAAGACGGCCCUACGGGUUGUAAACCUCUUUUGUCGGGGAGCAAAGCGAGUCACGUGUGACUCAUUGAGAGUACCCGAAUAAAAAGCAUCGGCUAACUCCGGGCCAGCAGCCGCGGUAAUACGGAGGGGGCAAGCGUUAUCCGGAUUUACUGGGGGUAAAGGGGGCGCAGACGGCAGCGCAAGCCAGGAGUGAAAGCCCGGGGCCCAACCCCGGGACGGCUCUUGGAACUGCGCGGCGGGAGUGCAGGAGGGGCAGGCGGAAUUCCUGGUGUAGCAGUGAAAUGCGUAGAUAUCAGGAGGAACACCGGUGGCGAAGGCGGCCUGCUGGACUGCGACUGACGUUGAGGCCCGAAGGCGUGGGGAGCAAACGGGAUUAGAUACCCUGGUAGUC
rnacentral:rRNA from 1 species